AACAAUGAGUGCUUGCACUCAGCGUUUUAAGUGUGAGUGGCGAACGGGUGAGUAACACGUGGGCAAUCUGCCCAAAAGUGGGGGAUAACACUUGGAAACAGGUGCUAAUACCGCAUCAACCGGCUGACCGCAUGGUCGGCCGGGCAAAGACGGCGUCAGCUGUCGCUUUUGGAUGAGCCCGCGGCGUAUUAACUAGUUGGUAAGGUAACGGCUUACCAAGGUGAUGAUACGUAGCCGAACUGAGAGGUUGAUCGGCCACAUUGGGACUGAGACACGGCCCAAACUCCUACGGGAGGCAGCAGUAGGGAAUCUUCCACAAUGGACGCAAGUCUGAUGGAGCAACGCCGCGUGUAUGAAGAAGGUCUUCGGAUCGUAAAAUACUGUUGUCAGAGAAGAACACGUGAUAGAGUAACUGCUAUGGCGCUGACGGUAUCUGACCAGCAAGUCACGGCUAACUACGUGCCAGCAGCCGCGGUAAUACGUAGGUGGCAAGCGUUGUCCGGAUUUAUUGGGCGUAAAGGGAACGCAGGCGGUCUUUUAAGUCUGAUGUGAAAGCCUUCGGCUUAACCGGAGAAGUGCAUUGGAAACUGGAAGACUUGAGUGCAGAAGAGGAGAGUGGAACUCCAUGUGUAGCGGUGAAAUGCGUAGAUAUAUGGAAGAACACCAGUGGCGAAAGCGGCUCUCUGGUCUGUAACUGACGCUGAGGUUCGA
rnacentral:rRNA from 1 species